ACUUAAGACCCUGACACACCAAGCAGACGGCAAAGAACUAGUGGCGACGAAGUUGCACUUGAACACACCGCAAAGACUACAGGCAACGGACAACCACCAUGUACGUUCUGCGGAAAUAACUCUCCAUGCCAGCAGGCGGCGGUAGUCUGUAAUUGUCA